UUGGAGGGCAAGUCUGGUGCCAGCAGCCGCGGUAAUUCCAGCUCCAAUAGCGUAUAUUAAAGUUGUUGCAGUUAAAAAGCUCGUAGUUGAAUUUCGGGAUUGACACAUCGGUCGUGCCUUAAGGGGUAUGAACUGGUGUAGUCAAUUUCUCACCUUCUGGAGAACCGCGAUGCCCUUAAUUGGGUGUCGCGGGGAACCAGGACCUUUACUUUGAAAAAAUUAGAGUGUUUAAAGCAGGCAUUUUGCUUGAAUACAUUAGCAUGGAAUAAUAAAAUAGGACGGCAUGAUUCUAUUUUGUUGGUUUCUAGGAUCACCGUAAUGAUUAAUAGGGAUAGUUGGGGGCAUUAGUAUCCAAUUGUCAGAGGUGAAAUUCUUGGAUUUAUUGAAGACUAACUACUGCGAAAGCAUUUGCCAAGGAUGUUUUCAUUAAUCAAGAACGAAUGUUAGGGGAUCGAAGACGAUCAGAUACCGUCGUAGUCUUAACCAUAAACUAUGCCGACUAGGAAUCAGACGAUGUUAAUUUUUUAAUGACUCGUUUGGCACCUUACGGGAAACCAAAGUGUUUGGGUUC
rnacentral:rRNA from 1 species